UAAGCGGAGGAAAGAAACUAACAAGGAUUCCCCUAGUAACUGCGAGUGAAGCGGGAAAAGCUCAAAUUUAAAAUCUGGUGGUCUUUGGCCAUCCGAGUUGUAAUCUAGAGAAGCGUCUUCCGCGCUGGACCGUGCACAAGUCUCCUGGAACGGAGCGUCGUAGAGGGUGAGAAUCCCGUCUUUGGCAUGGACACACCAGGGCUUUUGUGAUGCGCUCUCGAAGAGUCGAGUUGUUUGGGAAUGCAGCUCAAAAUGGGUGGUGAACUCCAUCUAAAGCUAAAUAUUGGCGAGAGACCGAUAGCGAACAAGUACCGUGAGGGAAAGAUGAAAAGCACUUUGGAAAGAGAGUGAAACAGUACGUGAAAUUGUUGAAAGGGAAACGCUUGAAGUCAGUCGCGUCGACCGAGACUCAGCCUCGCCUCGGCUUGGCGUACUUCUCGGCCCGACGGGUCAGCAUCAAUUUCGCCUCUUGGAUAAUGGCGAGGGAAACGUGACACCUUUACGGUGUGUUAUAGUCUCUCGUCGCAUGCAAGGGUCGGGAUUGAGGAACUCAGCACGCGCCUUUGGGCGUCGGGGCUUUGCCUACGAUACGUGCUUAGGAUGUUGGCGUAAUGGCUUUAAACGACC
rnacentral:rRNA from 1 species